GAUGAACGCUGGCGGCGUGCCUAAUACAUGCAAGUCGAGCGAACGGACGAGAAGCUUGCUUCUCUGAUGUUAGCGGCGGACGGGUGAGUAACACGUGGAUAACCUACCUAUAAGACUGGGAUAACUUCGGGAAACCGGAGCUAAUACCGGAUAAUAUUUUGAACCGCAUGGUUCAAAAGUGAAAGACGGUCUUGCUGUCACUUAUAGAUGGAUCCGCGCUGCAUUAGCUAGUUGGUAAGGUAACGGCUUACCAAGGCAACGAUGCAUAGUCGACCUGAGAGGGUGAUCGGCCACACUGGAACUGAGACACGGUCCAGACUCCUACGGGAGGCAGCAGUAGGGAAUCUUCCGCAAUGGGCGAAAGCCUGACGGAGCAACGCCGCGUGAGUGAUGAAGGUCUUCGGAUCGUAAAACUCUGUUAUUAGGGAAGAACAUAUGUGCAAGUAACUGUACACAUCUUGACGGUACCUAAUCAGAAAGCCACGGCUAACUACGUG
rnacentral:rRNA from 1 species